rnacentral:rRNA from 1 species
GAUGAACGCUGACAGAAUGCUUAACACAUGCAAGUCAACUUGAAUUUGGGUUUUUAACUUAGGUUUGGGUGGCGGACGGGUGAGUAACGCGUAAAGAACUUGCCUCACAGCUAGGGACAACAUUUGGAAACGAAUGCUAAUACCUAAUAUUAUGAUAAUAGGGCAUCCUAUAAUUAUGAAAGCUAUAAGCGCUGUGAGAGAGCUUUGCGUCCCAUUAGCUAGUUGGAGAGGUAACGGCUCACCAAGGCGAUGAUGGGUAGCCGGCCUGAGAGGGUGAUCGGCCACAAGGGGAAUGAGACACGGCCCUUACUCCUACGGGAGGCAGCAGUGGGGAAUAUUGGACAAUGGACCAAGAGUCUGAUCCAGCAAUUCUGUGUGCACGAUGAAGUUUUUCGGAAUGUAAAGUGCUUUCAGUUGGGAAGAAAGAAAUGACGGUACCAACAGAAGAAGUGACGGCUAAAUACGUG